CUACGGGGUGCAGCAGUGAGGAAUUUUGCGCAAUGGGGGGAACCCUGACGCAGCAACGCCGCGUGAGUGAUGAAGGCUUUCGGGUCGUAAAGCUCUGUCAAGUGGGAAGAACCUAUGCAGUGUUAAUAUCACUGUAUACUGACGGUACCACUGAAGGAAGCACCGGCUAACUCCGUGCCAGCAGCCGCGGUAAUACGGGGGGUGCAAGCGUUAUUCGGAACCAUUGGGCGUAAAGGGCACGUAGGCGGCUUGGUAAGUCAGAUGAAAGCCCGGGGCUUAACCCCGGAAGUGCAUUUGAUACUGUCAGGCUUGAGUAUGGGAGAGGGAAGUGGAAUUCCUGGUGUAGAGGUGAAAUUCGUAGAUAUCAGGAGGAACACCGGUGGCGAAGGCGACUUCCAGGACCAAUACUGACGCUGAGGUGCGAAGGCGUGGGUAGCAAACAGGAUUAGAUACCCGUGUAGUC
rnacentral:rRNA from 1 species